rnacentral:rRNA from 1 species
UACGAAGGGGGCUAGCGUUGUUCAGAAUUACUGGGCGUAAAGGGCGCGUAGGCGGUCUUUCAAGUCAGAUGUGAAAGCCCUGGGCUUAACCUAGGAGGUGCAUUUGAUACUGAUCGACUUGAGAUCGAGAGGGGAGAGUGGAAUUGUGAGUGUAGAGGUGAAAUUCGUAGAUAUUCACAAGAACACCGGUGGCGAAGGCGACUCUCUGGCUCGAUACUGACGCUAAGGCGCGAAAGCGUGGGGAGCAAACAGG